rnacentral:rRNA from 1 species
CCUUCCGUAGGUGAACCUGCGGAGGGAUCAUUACAGAGUUGCAAAACUCCCUAAACCAUUGUGAACGUUACCUUCAAACCGUUGCUUCGGCGGGCGGCCCGGGUCCGCCCGGUGCCCCCUGGCCCCCUAGCGGGGCGCCCGCCGGAGGAAAACCCAACUCUUGAUUAUUAUGGCCUCUCUGAGUCUUCUGUACUGAAUAAGUCAAAACUUUCAACAACGGAUCUCUUGGUUCUGGCAUCGAUGAAGAACGCAGCGAAAUGCGAUAAGUAAUGUGAAUUGCAGAAUUCAGUGAAUCAUCGAAUCUUUGAACGCACAUUGCGCCCGCCAGUAUUCUGGCGGGCAUGCCUGUUCGAGCGUCAUUUCAACCAUCAAGCCCCGCGCUUGUGUUGGGGACCUGCGGCUGCCGCAGGCCCUGAAAACCAGUGGCGGGCUCGCUGUCACACCGGGCGUAGUAGAUUUUAUCUCGCUCAGGGCGUGCUGCGGGUUCCGGCCGUUAAAAAGCCUUUUUUACCCAAGGUUGACCUCGGAUCA